rnacentral:lncRNA from 1 species
CCAAAUGCCCUGGCUUACUUCCUUAUCUGGAACAUCUGUCAAGUGAGGGCUAUGAGCUGUGCGCUGGACUGGAAAGGCUCGACACUGAUUAUUACUCUUUCCUCACCACGUCAUUCUGCAAGUGCCUCACCUCCCUCCGACGCCUAGAGUUACACGAUCCUACGGGGGAAGUGACGGGACUAACGGAGGAGCAAGAGAGAGCGCUUCCGCACCUCACGUCCCUGCAGGAGCUACGAUUUGAGGAUUUCACCUACCUCGAAAGUCUUCCUGUGGGUCUGCACAGCCUUUCCUCCCUCAAGAGGUUGGAGAUCAUUGCUUGCCAUUGGAUCUCAAGGCUGCCAGAAAAGGGGCUCCCACCUUCGCUUGAAGAAAUUGAGAUCAGCGGUUGCAGCGAGGAGCUAACUGAUGAAUGCAGAAUGCUAGCAACAAAAACAAGGAAGCCAAAAGUCAAAAUUGGUGGGAAAUAUGUGAGCUGAUUACUGGGUGGUUGUUAAGCAGACUUGUCUACCAGCAAAGCGGGUUUCACUCUGUUGCCUUCUGAGGUAUAUGCCUCUACCGUCAAUCAUGUUAUUAUCAGAUUUUACAUCCCUCGGUGUCAUGUGAAAAUAAGCUGUCCCAUUGCUGCUUUGCAGGCAUUCAAGCUGCUGUACGUUCCAGUGUUCCACUACUAAAUCUCAUACAACUACGUGCUGUUCAACAAAGCAUCCACACAUCCCUGUUUCUUGCAGAUCACCCAUUGCAGGGCUCAUGUUUGCCAGACGGGAGGCCCAACGCCCAAGGUGUGCUUCUUUUUACUCAUAACCAUCAAAAAUAGAAUUGUUUCGCUUCUCGAACCUCGUCGUCACUGGCCAUAAGCUGCCGAAUGUUAAUAGUUUUGCUGUCAUGUGAACUGAAAACAGUCUGUUUUGUACUUCUAUUCUAUGCUAUUCAUCUCAUCUUGCAAUCUGAACGCUCAAAGGCCUGAAGCUGUGAAUAUGCCUGUUAUAAUUUGGUAACUUUAGAAAUUGUUUUGAAGGAAUCGUACAAGAUAGUGCGAGUUUCCGGGUGGCAACUCAAGGCGCUUCAGGCCCAAAUCCCAAUCGACAGCCACUUUGCGCAGAGAUGGACCUCAUGCCCGAUUGGGAUUUGGGAACCCACGUUGAGGCUCUCACUCAAUAAAGAAAACCAAAAGAAAGACUAAUGAUGAUCUGGGCCACUUUGAACUGAAGGCCCCAGCUAAAGCAGACGCCCAGUUACCGACCGGCCCACGGUAUCACAAAUCCACAACCAGUCAACCACAACGAUCCUCUUCCCUCUAAUGAAAAAAUCCUAAUAUAGCGUCCGAUAAAAAUAUGGUUCUCUCACACUACAAAGUUUUUGUCUUCCUUAUUUAACAAAGUUUUGUCUUCCUUAUUUAACAUCGGAGCUUUUCGUUCAUUCCUUCCUUGAUUUUAUUUUGAGCGUUAAGUCUACCUGAAAACACAUUUUUGGGCCCCCCCCCCCCCCCCCCCCCCCCCCCCUCAUCUAGAAAUAUAUGGUGAAUUCCAUACAAUAUGUUAACCUCUCCUAUAUGCUCGUUUCUGUACCGCUCAUGCUCGGUGUAGGUGACCUCCAUGUCUUCACUAGCUCCGUUGAAGCUCAAUUCAAGUAGGAAUUGGUAUUUAAUAAUGUGCCUGGCAACUUGAUUUUGUAAUUAAAGCUUGAUUUAUCAGCUGCAAGAUGGAUUUGAGCUCGAUUUGAGGAUGCGGUCUGGUCGUCUGCGAUUACAGUCUGGUUUGGGACUGGCCCGGCCCAGGCCUUUCUCGAUGACACGGACCUGCACAGCCUCCGCCCUCCAGCAUGCACAGGGCGCAAUCCAGCAGCCGUGCGCCGGAGACUGACGCAGCGUUGGCGGCCGCGGUCACACGAGCUAUUGCUGCGUGGGUGCCUGGGACCUGGGCUGUACACUAGCGGUGACGCUGUUGGCGUGGCAUCACAAGGACGUCGACCUCGUGUGCCCGCUCUUGCAGCUCCUCGACGAGGAGGACGAGCUCCAGGACGCAGACACACGCCGCGAGAACUACACCUGCGAGCCGGCGGGGUGCCGAAUGGGAUCCCAGAUGUCUACGCUUGAUGAGAUCCCCUCCACGCGGUCACGCCACUCAAAGCUGCGCCGUUCCCUUCGUCUCCGGAUGCGGCAAGUGCUGUGCCGGCGCGGCUCCCCGUUCCCUUGAGGCGCGUGCUUGUCUCCCUCCGCGCCGGCCGUUGGAUAGCUUGAUGGUGGCAGGCUAGCAGCGCUGCAGCGGCGGCGGAUGGCGCUCCGAUUGCAGCAAGACUGCUUGCAUGUGAGUGUGUGGCCUCGCCGGACCCUGGUGGCGGUCGGUGUCUGCGGCGGCCUUCCAAAUAUCCUCCGGGGUAUUUUGAUCACAAACCAAAUGUCUGACGUUCGUGAAAGAGAAUUUUAACGGAAAUAGCUGAGGGAUCUAAGGGAAGUGUAAAUUCGGUGCCAAAUAAGGAAGACGACAAUUUAUGGUGUCAUAGGGAAUCAAAUCUUUAUCUCGUGCUAUAUAUGUGAGGAAUUUUCUCAAUGAAAAAAUGGUCAGCAUGAUAGCGCAGUUGCAGACUUGCUUGCAGUGAGACGCCGCGCUGUACUGAAGGGUGGUGCUACAAGAUGCGUGGAUCAAGUACGAUGGCGCUGCAUGCAGCGUGAAGCUAGGGUAUCCGUCAUUGACAGUUUGUUUGAGAUCGGGAGACUGAUCCGUCUGGCGGCACCAUGAUUCUACCGCUGUAGCACUGUGUGUAUGGCAAGGAAAUCUCAAUCGAUGCGCUAUUUCGUCUUUCUUUCUAAAAAUGAGCCGCGUUGGCGUUGCCAUGCAAAAUGGGAAAUUACAGCACUGAAUCACUAUGGAACUGUUUCCGAUAUUGGUUAAUCUGUUGCUUCGCAGUAAUUUUUUCUGUCUUCUCGAGGACACACGAACCCGAUCUGCGUGCCUUCUUUCGUUACGGCGAGCACAACAACUGUGACCAAUCGUUCUCGUGCCAGCGCACACGUUGACUAGGGAGCUUGCUAGGAGUAGUGGUACUCUUCUUAGCAGAAAUGGAACCGGGACUUGCAAACGGGAUCAGGGACCGGGACUUAAACGUUUGAGGCGUUGUAUGCAGGCCACGAAAGAUGGAGGUUCGAGUCCGACGGCAACUUCGAGGAAAGAUCGUUCCUGUAGAUUUCAGUGAUGGAUGUGAUGGCCCUGUCCCGCCCUGUGCCCCUGCUGGAUAAAUAGGGACCGGGACUUGAGAUGAAUCGGGAUUAGGUACCGGGACUCACGAACCGGGAUCAGGUUUGGGUUCACAUUUUAUUUGGAGGGAGAAGCAGAGCUCGGACGGUCAAUAUUCUCGACGACUUUGUCCGAACCCUGUGUUUGGAACCGGGAGCGGUACCAGGAGUCCGGGACCGGGACCGGGACCGGGACAGGGACUUCCUUUUUCUAUAUAUAAUACGCCAACUCCGGCCACUCCAUCCCCCAAGCCUCAAAACAAGAGCCACGGUACCAAGAGACGAUGGAUGUCCUCGUCAACAUGCUGAGAUUGAUCUCCGAUGCUUUCGGCGACAUGGAGAAGCUGCCGGCGGUGCUGAUCUUGUGCGGCGGCGUCCUAGCUGCGGCAGCGCUCAGACUCGCCAUCUUCUACCACGGUGAGCCGCCCUUCUACCUGUACCGCGGAACUCUCAUCACACUAGUGAUAAUCGGGUUCAUGGAGACAUGCGCCGGCCUAUGGCUCACAGGUGACCUGACUGGUCGGCAGGACACCGGGAAGACAAUUCUGGGGUUUUCCAUCCUCCCUUUGAUCAUCGUUGCAGCCCUUGGUGGUUUUGUCUAGCAGUUGCAGGCAGGCUGUGCGUCGUUGUGUCUUGUGUGCGUAUGUAUGUCAAACACCAGUUGCUCUGUGUCAUCAACUUAGCAUUUGAGGAAUCACCGAGAGGUUUCAAUUGUUACCAAGCAUUUUUGUGUUUAGGUCUGUACUGUAUGUGCGAUUUCGUCUGUCAUGUUGUAACUGUUCGAGUAACAAAAUAAAAAAAUUUGGUUUCUGGUACCAACGGGUUGCUUUACGUAUGAAUCGAUGUUGUUUUUUUAAAGACUAAUAAAUCGACGUGGUUUGAUGUUGUUUUUCCCUAUCUCGAAUCAGAAAUUCUGCACUAAGCUAGUCUCCCACCAGCGUAAGUCCUACUAUAGGUACCUUUGCCUACUCAUGUUUACUCUCUCCUGCGUAGAAUGACUGGUGGAGAAAAAAAAAGAAUGAGUAUGAUGGUUUAUCAAGCAACAGUGCAGUACUCCCUUCGUUCCAAAUUGUAGGUCGUUUUGACUAUAUCUAUAUGCAUCUAGACAUACACUAUAUCUAUAUGCAUAAUAAUAUUUGCAAACUAAAAAAUUAAAAUGACUUAUAAUUUGAAACGGAGGGAGUACAAGAUGACAACUGCAGAAAAAAAAUCUUCCGAGCAAUAUAAUAGUAAUCUUGAGAAGCAAAUAUUAAGCAUUUUGUUCCUUCUUUCAAAGCUAAGAACGAGUGGAUGUUCGGGAAAGGGAUCGGGAUCGUGAACCGGGACCGGGACCGGGACCGGGACCGGGAUUGCGUUAACGUGGAAGGAGAAAAAGGUUUGGUAGUUCAACAAGAGUACAAGACGUCGCAAUUUUAAACAAAAAGGGCCGAGGCCUGCGGUUGAGCCCGCUGGGCUUGUUUGAAGACCCAGUUUCGACUACUUCAGACUAAAGAGCAGGUCGAAGGACUCCCGGCCCAGUUGGAGCAGAAGCUGCAAAUGUUUUUUUUUUUUAAGAAAACAGCGUAGCAGCGGUGGUUGCGGUUGCGGUGCUCAAGGGCUCCACGUUCAGUCAAAGGCGUGCAUUAUUCCGCAGAAAAAGGUGACAGGCACGUUUGCGGUAGGCGGGCUCUCCCUUGACCCGUUCUUGGUCCUUAUCUGCUCGUCUUGUCUCUACUUCCAUUCCAAGCUUCGUGGCUGCGUAGUGUUUCUGUGAAAUCUUGUUCCCUUCCCGUCCUAGUCAUUUGCAUCCUCCCAGUGAUUACUAGCUAGCUAGCCCAAGAACUGCCUUCUGCACAUGCCGGAUCUGAUGGAGGCCGUAGAGAACGCCCUCGUCGAGGGCAAGAUCCUAUGGCUGGCGCAAACCAUCCUGGAGGGCAUCUUCAGCGGCGAGCACGACGAAUGGAUUCGCCACGUUGGGCUUGGAGAAGGCAUGAAGCAGCUCAAGUCUGAGAUCGAGAGGGUUGAGACGGUGGUUGCCGCUGUCAAGGGGAGGGCCACCGGGAACAAGCCGCUGGCCGGAUCGCUCGCUCGUCUCAGUGAGCUGAUGUAUGACGCCGACGACUUGGUCGACGAGCUCGACUACUUUAGGCUACAGGAGCAGGUCGAAAGAGGUAAAUGAUCCUUGUUAAAUAGUACUAUAUUAGACGUAUUCCUUGAAUCAAUAAAACCCAUUCCUUAUCCACGUUGGUUUCUUAUGGCACAGGUACGAUUGCUUGUGCUAACGAGUCCGAGCGCACGGAUGGCCAUGAAGCAGAGCAAGUGGAAGGAUCCAGGGACAAUCCCCAUAUACAGACUAGCAAGAGGCGCACGAAUCGGUGCAAGGAAUGGGACCAUUUUACCGAGAUAAUGGUUAAUGGAAAGACUCAGGGAGCAAAAUGUAAAUACUGUGGUAAGGAAGUUAAAUGCGGUGGUACGACCGGGACAAACGGUUUGAACAAGCAUAUCAGGAGUAAAAAAUGUCUGAGCAAACGUCCAGCAGCUGAAGAACCGACAAAUACUACAAGGUAGUGCAAUACACAUACCAGAUAACAUGUUCCAUUUAUAUCUUUAUUACAUCAGUGCACUUUUGCAUUGUCAAAUAAUGAUUGGUGGUAGCUUUUGAGAUGUUCUUUCUCUCCAUAAAUUGGAUCACCCAAACAUCAACCUUGGUUAUACAUAAAGUGCAAUAAUUUUCUUUUCAGUGUAACAGGAGGGACAAAGCCCCUAAUGGUUAUAUAUUAAAAAAAAGGAAAAAGUUAAAGCGUUACAACAAGAAGAAGAAAAAAGUUCAAUAAAUUGCUUCCCAAUAAAUUGUAAUGCAUCCCUGAAUCAUGCUCCCUCCGUUUAUGUUUAUAAGGCGUACGCGCAUACCAAGAUUCAAACUUUGUAUAUUUGACUAAUAAUUUAACCAAUAUUUUUUAUUUUUAUGAUGUAAACUCGAAAUGGUUGGAUUUGUGUUUAUAACCAUAAAUAAUAUAAUAUAAAAUAGAUUCAUGAUCAAAGUAUAAUUUGGAAGAUCAUGCCAUGUCAUAUCACACCUUAUAAAAAUAAACAGAGGGAUCAUUUUCUUCAUGCAGUUCCACUGAUGGUGCACCAAAUGAUACCACCAAUGCAACCCGGGAUUCGUUCAUCAGAGAAAAAAGGAUGAGAGUCAAUGAGGCAUCAACACACAGCGCUGCAUCUAACACACGCCCUUGGAACAAGGCCGGACUUCCUAAUAGGAUACGCCAAAUAGUUUUUGAGUUACAAGACUCGCGAGGGAAUGUGUGCGAUUUUCUCAAGGAUUCUGUCGCGUGUUCAGUUCAAAGUCAGAGCAACAGCUCAGAUACACGGACAACAACAUCAAGCUGUGUUCCUCGAGAAGUCCACGGGAGGGAUGUGGAGAAGGACUACAUCAUAAGGGUGAUCACAGCUGCAGAAUCUAAUGUCAUAACUGUACUGCCUAUUGUAGGCAUUGUAGGGGUUGGGAAGACAGCUCUAGCUCAACUUGUCUACAAUGAUCCAACUGUUAUAAGUCAAUUUGAGCGGAUAUGGAUUUGGGUGUCCGACAUGUUUGAUAAAGUGAGACUUACAAAUGAGAUGUUAGAUGUUGUUGCCCUAGAAAGCCACAACAGGCCUCCUCGUAACAAAGAAAGCCAUGAAGGACAAAUGAGAAACUACUCAAAGCUUCAAGAGAUAUUAAAGGAACAUAUGGGGCACCGGUCCAAAAGGUUUUUCCUUGUUCUAGAUGAUGUCACUGACUGCAUGGAUAGCUACCAAUGGAAUGAACUAUUGUCUCCUUUGAAAUCAAGUCAGAAAAAGGGCAAUGUGAUUGUUAUAACAACUAGAAAUUUGUCUGUUGCACGAAGGCUAGGUACAGUUGAACCGAUUAAGUUAGUUGCUCUGAAAAAUGAUGCUUUUUGGUUAUUGUUUAAAGCAUGCGCAUUUGGUGAUGACAAUUACGAAAGGCAUCCAAGUCUAAACAUCAUCGGACGUCAAAUUGCUGCAAAGUUAAAGGGAAACCCAUUAGCAGCGCAAACUGCAGGAGAAGUAUUAAAAAAACAUCUUACUAUUGAUCAUUGGAGUACCAUUCUGAAGAGUGAAGACCAAAAAUCCAUGCUACUUAAUACAGGCAUCAUGCAUGCUUUGAAGCUUAGCUAUGAUAAGCUUCCCUACCAUUUGCAGCAGUGUUUCUUGUAUUGUUCAAUAUUUCCUGAUAAUUAUAAGUUUCUUGCUGAGGAUCUGGUUCGUACUUGGAUUUCACAAGGAUUUUUAAGAUGUAAAAACUCGAAGAAGACACCAGAGGAGACAGGACGGGACUAUCUCCAUGAUUUAGUGGACCUGUGCUUCUUUGAGGAAGUAGAAAAGGAAGAGUCCAGCCCCACUCAAGGAGCGGAAGAGUCCACUCCACCCACUGGGACAUGCUAUGUUAUGUGUGGAAUCAUGUAUGAAUUUGCAAGGGUGGUUUCAGGGAGUCAUUUUGCAACAAUAUGUGGUUUAGAGCGGAACGAAAUUCUGCCAACCAUACGUCAUGUUUCAAUUCACAGCAUACUUAAUCAUAAGGAGUUUGAAGAAAAAUUGCAAACUAUAGUUCCAUUAGUGAGAAAUUUGAGGACAUUGAUAUUAAUCGGGAGAUGCGAGUCUUUCUUCUUCCAGUCCUUCCAAGAUAUAUUCCAGAAGGCAUGUCACUUACGUUUGCUACAGAUUUCCGCAACACAAGCUAAUUUUUAUACUUCCGUGCUGAAUUUGGUAAAUCCUACCCAUAUUCGCUACCUAAAAUUUGGGAACAAUGGAAGUGCUAUUUCUCUGAGCAAGUUUUAUCACCUUCAAGUAUUGGAUGCUGGACACCCAACUAUAGUUCAUGGUGUGAAUGAUCUCAUCAGCAUGAGGUAUCUAUUUGUAACAAAGGGAGCACGCUCUUUUAUUCCUAGAGUUGGUGAAACGAGUAAUAGUCAGGACAUGCAGAAUUCCACGGAUCAAAAUUCUAGUCGCUUUGAGAUAACACAGCUUCGAUCCAUGAAUAAGCUUGUACAACUUGGUGUUUUUCAUCUGGUCAAUGUAAGUAGGUCGGAGGCUGAUGGGGCAAAAUUGAGAGACAAACAGCAAUUAGAAAAGCUUAUCUUGUCCUGGAAGGAUACAAAUGAUGACAUUAGCAUCUCGGAAGCAGAAGAGGGGAGCAGCCCAACGGAUGAUAGUGAUUCAAGCUACACAAAUGAUGACAUUAGCAUCUCGGAAGUAGAAGAGGGGAGCAGCCAAAUGGAUGAUAGUGAUGAAGAGGGGAGAAGCCGAAUGGAUGAUAGUGAUCCAAACUAUGGACCAUUGAUAAACACGGAAACGGAAAGGGAGAGGUCGCAAACGGAUGGUAGUAAUAAUAGCCCGAGGUCUGGACCUUUUAUUGACAUGGCACAUGAUGUCCUUGAGGGCCUUGAACCACAUCAAAAUCUAAAACAUCUUCAAAUCUCUGGGUACAGCGGUUCUACCUCCCCAGCUUGGCUUGCCACUUCAGUUACUUUCUUGCAGGCACUUCAUCUAGAGGAUUGUGGAGAAUGGAAAAUACUUCCAUCUUUGGAAAGCCUUAAAUUUCUUACAAAGCUGAAGCUAAGUAAUAUGCAGAAAGUAAAGAAAGUAUCAAUCGUACCAUUGGAGGAGCUGGUGCUGAUUAAUAUGCCAAAGUUGGAGUGUUGUUCCUGCAAUUCCGUGAUGGACUUGAACUCCAGUUUAAGGGUCCUCAAGUUUGAGCAAUGUCAUGUUCUGAAGGUCUUUCCCCUCUUUGAGAGCUGGAAGAAAUUAAAAAUUGAGCGCAAGUCAUGGUUGUCCUGUGUUAAGGAACUUACCAUCUGUGAAUGUCCCCAUUUAAUGGUACCGAAUCCUCUACCACCUUCUAGUAAUGUUUGUAAACUACACAUCGCAAGAGUUUCAACACUCCCAACGAUGGAGGGAUCAUCCAGCGAAAAACUGGUAAUCGGAAUACACAAUUGGAGAAAAAUUGUUAAGAAUGGUUGGCUGACGGACCUGGAUGACAGAACUUGGAGACAAAUUGAUAAGAAUGAUUGGCUGACGGAGCUGGAUGACAGAACUCGGAGAGAAAUUAAUAAGAAUGAUGGGCUGACGGAGCUGGAUGACAGAAUUUUGUCAUUCCAUAAUUUGAGGGCCCUUAGCCGAUUGCAUAUAGCAGGCUGCCAAAAACUAUCUUCUAUUUCACUCGAAGGUUUCAGGCAACUCAUUAGCUUAAAGACUAUGGACAUAAGCUUCUGCAUUAACCUUUUCUCUUCAGAUGUCCCACCACCACCAGAGCAUACCCAUGAAGACAUGACCGACAUAAAUUUCAAUGCCCUCCCAUCUCUCAAGCAUCUCAGAAUUGAAUUUUGUGGAAUAACUGGGAUGUGGGUAUCUGUGAUGCUGCGCCAUGCACCAGCCCUAGAGGAAUUGCGCUUGGAUGAUUGCGACCAGAUAUCAGGACUGUUGAUCGAAGUGGGAGAUAGUAGUUCAUCAAAUCACACCUCGGCUCCACGGGCUCCAUCAGCAGGAAACCCAGAUGACGCAUUGACAAGCUCAACUCCAGAUGGACUCCUGCGCAUCCCAUCAAAUUCCGUCUCCUCUCUCAAGAAAAUGUCUAUUCUGUGGUGCAGAGAGCUAACAUUUCAGGGGAACAAGGAAGGCUUCUCUGGAUUCACCUCCCUUGAGGAGCUAAAAAUUGCUGGAUGCCCCAAACUGAUCCCGUCUUUGGUGCAGACAUAUGAAAACAACGACCAGCGAAACGGAAGAUGGCUUCUCCCGUAUUCACUUGGCAAACUUGAUAUCGAGGAAUCCCCAGAAACGCUGCAGCCCUGCUUCCUAGAAGAUCACAACUGCCUCAAAAAGUUAAAAAUACGUUACAGCCCAAGUUUAAAAUUGGUACAGUUGCAUUCCUGCACGGCACUGGAAGAGUUGACGGUUUAUGAUUGUGCAUCGCUCGCUGCACUAGAGGGGAAUUUCACCUGCCUCCGGAAAUUAGAUCUGUUUCACAACCCAAGACUAAAAUCGCUACAGCUGCAUUCCUGCACAACGCUGGAAGAGUUGAUGGUUCAGUAUUGUGCAUCGCUCGCUGCACUAGAGGGGAAUUUCACCUGCCUCCGGAAAUUAUAUGUGUUUCACAACCCAAGACUGAAAUCGCUACAGCUGCAUUCCUGCACAACGCUGGAAGAGUUGAUGGUUCAGUAUUGUGCAUCGCUCGCUGCACUAGAGGGGAAUUUCACCUGCCUCCGGAAAUUAGAUCUGUUUCACAACCCAAGACUGAAAUCGCUACAGCUGCAUUCCUGCACAACGCUGGAAGAGUUGAUGGUUUAUGAUUGUGCAUCGCUCGCUGCACUAGAGGGGAAUUUCACCUGCCUCCGGAAAUUAUAUGUGUUUCACAACCUAAGACUGAAAUCGCUACAGCUGCAUUCCUGCACAACGCUGGAAGAGUUGACGGUUGAGGCUUGUGAAUCGCUCGCUGCACUAGAGGACUUCCGGUCCCUCAGAGGUCUCAGGUAUUUAAAAGUAACCGAAUGCCCUGGCUUACUUCCUUAUCUGGAACAUCUGUCAAGUCAGGGCUAUGAGCUGUGCGCUGGACUGGAAAGGCUCCACACUGAUGAUUACUCUUUCCUCACCACGUCAUUCUGCAAGUGCCUCACCUCCCUCCGACGCCUGGAGUUACACCAUCCUACGGGGAAAGUGACGGGACUAACGGAGGAGCAAGAGAGAGCGCUUCAGCACCUCACGUCCCUGCAGGAGCUACGAUUUGAGGGUUGCUCCAACCUCGCAGGUCUUCCUGUGGGUCUGCACAGCCUUUCCUCCCUCAAGAGGUUGGAGAUCAAUUAUUGCCCGUUUCUCUCAAGGCUGCCAGAAAAGGGGCUCCCACCUUCGCUUGAAGAACUUAAGAUCUUGGGUUGCAGCGAGGAGCUAGCUGAUGAAUGCAGAAUGCUAGCAACAACAACAAGGAAGCNNNN